rnacentral:misc_RNA from 1 species
GGUGAAGAACGUAGCGAAAUGCGAUAAGUAAUGUGAAUUGCAGAAUUCAGUGAAUCAUCGAAUCUUUGAACGCACAUUGCGCCCGCCAGUAUUCUGGCGGGCAUGCCUGUUCGAGCGUCAUUUCAACCCUCAAGCCCCGCUUGGUGUUGGGCCCCGCCCGCUGUGGCCGGCCCUAAAGACAGUGGCGGCGCCGCCUGGCCCUCAGCGUAAUACAUCUCUCGCUCCAGGGUCCGGUGGCCGCCUGCCAGAACCCCCCAACUCUGUGGUUGACCUCGGAUCAGGUAGGGAUACCCGCUGAACUUAAGCAUAUCAAUAAGCGGAGGA